CGGCACCCCUCCUCGGAGGGAAGCGAGUGGCGAACGGCUGAGUAACACGUGGAGAACCCGCCCCCCUCCUCCCGGGAUAGCCUCGGGAAACCGUGGGUAAUACCGGAUGACCCCGCAGGGCCGCAUGGCCCCGCGGGCAAAGCCCAGACGGGAGGGGAUGGCUCCGCGGCCCAUCAGGUAGACGGCGGGGUGACGGCCCACCGUGCCGACGACGGGUAGCCGGGUUGAGAGACCGACCGGCCAGAUUGGGACUGAGACACGGCCCAG
rnacentral:rRNA from 1 species